UGGGGAAUAUUGCACAAUGGGCGGAAGCCUGAUGCAGCGACGCCGCGUGGGGGAUGAAGGCCUUCGGGUUGUAAACUCCUUUCGACAGGGACGAAGCUUUUGUGACGGUACCUGUAUAAGAAGCACCGGCUAACUACGUGCCAGCAGCCGCGGUAAUACGUAGGGUGCGAGCGUUGUCCGGAAUUACUGGGCGUAAAGAGCUCGUAGGUGGUUUGUCGCGUCGUGUGUGAAAUUCCGGGGCUUAACUCCGGGCGUGCAGGCGAUACGGACUGACUUGAGUGCUGUAGGGGAGAGUGGAAUUCCUGGUGUAGCGGUGAAAUGCGCAGAUAUCAGGAGGAACACCGAUGGCGAAGGCAGGUCGCUGGGCAGUAACUGACGCUGAGGAGCGAAAGCAUGGGUAGCGAACAGG
rnacentral:rRNA from 1 species